UUUUUUCAUGUUUUCCAGACUGCUUUUAUUUUGUUGGGUUGCUCUAGGUUGUUUAGUCUGAUUCUCACAUUUAAUCUGAUUUAGACCUCGAGGAACAAUGGAACCUGGUCCAUCAAGAAAGAGAGUAAAGCAUGUUGUUCAGGAUCAGCUGUCUGGCUUGCAGGAAGAUCCAGCUGCGUGUGCCAGCGGCCCGUCUAAAGGGUAAGUGUUCAUCAUUACUUCUCUCUGAUGUACAGAGAAUAUUUCUUUCAGCACAGGGAACCUGUAAAAGUAUGAAAGUAAACCACCAGGUGUAUCGGAAGUCUUGACCUGAUAAUUUUCUAGUGAUGUGUAGUGCAGUGAAAUCGGCUUUCCUGUGUUAUGUACCGUGGUGAUACUUUAUUGAGAGUGUAUUGAACACGGCCUAUUGAAGCAACGCAUGUGGGGUCAGGAUGCUCAGUCAUGAGCAAUUCGGUUAGAGAGAGAGAGAGAGAGCGGCUUGCUUGCACGAAACUUGUGACUGGUGGCAAGUGACGAUGUCUUGCGCUUGCGCAGGACCCCGCCUUGUUUUAGUUUCUUUGUGUUUUGAGGGUCAGUUCCCUUCAUAACUCUUGGACCCAGGUAUUAAAUCAGAAUAUUCAUUGCAGUGUGGAUCGUUAUGGUUUUCCUGUUGUCAUUCGGUUAUCCUUUAAGACGCUGCAACGUACGUUCAUAUUCGUUUUUUGCAAUUUGAGGUUGUGUUGUGUUGAGUUGUUUGCGAAUGUUGUGCGGGCGGUGAUUGGAAGAAGAACGCUAGAAAUUGACUGCAUAUUCGAAUGUAUGUGACUUGGGCAAGGGAAAUUGAGUACGUUUAUGCAUUAAUAUUGUGGGUAUUUUACACGUGCCAUUCCGAGAAGUAAAUAACUUCACUCGAUUCACGCGUAAUGACAAAGCCGCUACUUGUCCUUUGUUCGUGGGUUGAACGCAUAUCGCCAUCUUCAUAACUGAGGACUGAGUUGGAAAUAUGUUUGUAACAUACUUUAUUUUUCUAAAAAGCCUGGAAUGUCAUUGCCCAAGAAUCUCUACUGUUAUUGUUUGUGACUGGAACAGUUGCAGCCUGGGGCCUUUAAGGUGAGCGCAGAAGUAGUCGUAGCAGCUGGAGUGUAACAAGGGUAGCGGAUUACAAGAAAUAGAAUGUUCCUCCAGAUUCUACUGGGCGGCGUGCUGUGUGUCACCUGACCUGCGUACUGCUUGCCAGAGAAGCAUUGGAGUAUGUGCGGCAACAGUUGGCAGACUGAGUUGAUUUCAGAACAGGAAACUUACUGCCAUGACUGGCGUAUGUAGUUCAUGUGCAGCGAGUUGGUAGCGAGGAUGUUUCCAUGUGGGAGUUUCGGUUUCUAGUUUGUUCUGUGAUGUCUCUGGUCUGUUCUUUCCGCGCAUCACGUAGUUCAUUUGGGUCGGCACUAUAAUUCUUUGUGGCCACGUUCUUAGAGAUGUGAAAGAAGACUGGCAUUGGGAAUAUUUGUCUCGGUUGGUAGUGAGGUCGUGCUUCGGUUUAGUUAAUGUUUGAAUGCUAAAAUGAUUUUGAGUUCAUAAUGGCAAAUAUUUAGUCUCUUCAAAUGCCUUAAUGCAAGAAUCAUUGCUGUAAGUUUCUGUGUGGGAACAGUGUGCCUCUUGGGUUGUAAGUGGGUUACGGAAUUAUCUGGUGUUCUCAUUUGUCGGUAGGUGUACAAUCAACUGCAGAAUAAGAGUGCUGAUUCUGUAUGCA